GAAGUGGUGAGAUUUUGGGUAUUUCUGAAAGCUGAUUUGACUUGCUUCUGUAGCAGUCUCCUGAAACUGAUCAGGCAAGCUAUACACAUUUGCUAUUGAAAUUUACCACGUCAAUUCCUGCAGUAUUAGGAAACAUGGUGGGCCCUCAUGGGAUGGCGGAAAGUGCACUGGACUUGUAAUCAGAACAUCUGGCUUGGGCCCUGGCACUAUACCGCCUCUGUGUCUUAGUUCAUAUAAGGGCUGGGAGUGAGAAACAGCAACGCAGGGAGGAGGAGAGACCCGAAAGAAGAUAAAACUGCUAAGUAAGAGGAGAAUUCGUCUAUGACACCUACACUUUUAAGAUGCAUUCUUUGAUCACUUGUUUA